UUUCCUUCAAUACGGCGAGUGAGCGGCAAAAGCUCAAUUUGAAUCUAGUACCUUCGGUGCUCGAGUUGUAAUUUGAAGGUAGUUUUCUGGUGCUGGCCCUUGUCUAUGUUCCUUGGAACAGGACGUCAUAGAGGGUGAGAAUCCCGUCUGAUGGGGUGUCCAGUGCUUUGUAGAUUUCUACCGAAGAGUCGAGUUGUUUGGGAAUGCAGCUCUAAGUGGGUGGUAAAUUCCAUCUAAAGCUAAAUACUGGCGAGAGACCGAUAGCGAACAAGUACAGUGAUGGAAAGAUGAAAAGAACUUUGAAAAGAGAGUGAAAAAGUACGUGAAAUUGUUGAAAGGGAAGGGUAUUGGAUCACACUUGGUGUCUUGUGAUUA
rnacentral:rRNA from 1 species